rnacentral:rRNA from 1 species
ACGCACGCUGGCGGCGUGCUUAACACCUGCCAGUCGAACGGUGAAGGGAUCAGCUUGCUGGUUCUGGAUGAGUGGCGAACGGGUGAGUAACACGUGAGUAACCUGCCCCCUUCUUCUGGAUAACCGCAUGAAAGUGUGGCUAAUACGGGAUAUUCUGCGCCUGCUGCAUGGUGGGUGUGGGAAAGAUAUUGUUUCGGUGGGGGAUGGGCUCGCGGCCUAUCAGCUUGUUGGUGGGGUGAUGGCCUACCAAGGCGGUGACGGGUAGCCGGCCUGAGAGGGUGGACGGUCACACUGGGACUGAGACACGGCCCAGACUCCUACGGGAGGCAGCAGUGGGGAAUAUUGCACAAUGGGCGCAAGCCUGAUGCAGCGACGCCGCGUGAGGGAUGGAGGCCUUCGGGUUGUGAACCUCUUUCGCCAGUGAAGCAGGCCUGUCCCGUGUGGGUGGGUUGACGGUAGCUGGAUAAGAAGCGCCGGCUAACUACGUG